rnacentral:pre_miRNA from 1 species
UACAUACUCCUUCCGUCCGAAAAUACUUGUCAUCAAAAUGGAUAAAAGGAGAUGUAUCUAGACAUAUUUUAGUUCUAAAUACAUCAUUUUUUGUCCAUUUUGAUGACAAAUAUUUCUGGACGGAGAGAGUACAUG